UCGGUUUGGUUGACCAAGGAGUCCAUACUCGCGUCACGCCAUUUCGCCCGUUGCCCCUGAAAUCUCGCCAUCUAUAUGAUAUCCCCUCUACGAUUGUUGAGGUGGGGGAGUAAUGGCCGUGCAAGCUCAAUACCCUUCAUCAUCAUCUAACGCUUUCUAUCAGGAUUUCCGCACGAGGGCGACCCAGAUCAACUUGCUCGAUGAGCUCCAGCAUAUGAAUCAUGGAGUCGUCCCUUUCAUCUUCACCAGCAACGACGCCACCGUUUUCAGCAACCCUCAAAGCGAGCUGACC